rnacentral:rRNA from 1 species
GUGAGGAAUAUUGGUCAAUGGACGGUAGUCUGAACCAGCCAAGUCGCGUGCGGGAAGAAGGCCCUCCGGGUCGUAAACCGCUUUAGCCGGGGAGUAACGUGCGGGACGUGUCCCGCAGUGAGAGUACCCGGAGAAUAAGCAUCGGCUAACUCCGUGCCAGCAGCCGCGGUAAUACGGAGGAUGCGAGCGUUAUCCGGAUUUAUUGGGUUUAAAGGGUGCGCAGGCGGCAGGUCAAGUCAGCGGUAAAAUCUCGGCGCUCAACGCCGUUCGGCCGUUGAAACUGUCCGGCUCGAGUGCGUGGGAGGAUGGCGGAAUGCGCGGUGUAGCGGUGAAAUGCAUAGAUAUCGCGCAGAACCCCGAUUGCGAAGGCAGCUGUCCACCACGCCACUGACGCUCAUGCACGAAAGCGUGGGUAUCGAACAGG